UUCGGUAUCAGCUUGAAAUGAUGAACAAAUGGCGUGAUAAGCCGCUUGCUUGCCCAAACGUUUGUAUGUGUCCAAACGUCCUUCUGUGAUGUCGCAACUGAAAUGGAAAAAACAACUUGUGUUGUAACUAACCAAACGUCAGUCAGCUCUAAAUUGUUAGUUUCAGUCAUAACAAAAGUGUCAUCCUUUGAAUGGGACGUUAUCUUAUGUAACCGUCACGUACUGCCUCGAAGCAUUUGGCAUUUAAGCAAAGAAAAAAGCACGGGCAUUCCAUUUGCUUCUUCCACAUAGAGCUGUUGUUUAAAUUCUCGAUAUUUUUCUUCGAUAUACUUUUCGUUUUCUAUUCAUCUUCUAAUUUUCUUUUACAAUUCAUUUAUUCACUUAACCUGUGAAAUCAGAGAACUAGGAUAAACAGAUUUGCAUUUUUUGGCAUUUAAUGCUGUAAAUGCAUGUCAACGGUUGUCAAGGUGAUUGCGUUCUGUCAAAUAGCCUGGAGAGCAGCUUAAAAGUCUUGUGCCAUACGCGAUUGGAUGAACAUAAACUGAUCCUCAUCUUGGGGUGCAUCUUCUUGAGGCUCAGACCGCGGGGCAGAUUCAUCGGUGGAAGCAACAUCCACCACGAUGUCAUCGGCCGGUGCUUGGGAUUCAUCAGCGGUUUGUUUAACGUCUUGUUGGGCCUCGGCCGUUGGCUGGGCGAUGCUUACGGCGGCGGGAGAUUCAACUUUAGCUCGGCUUGCGAUAGCCUUGGCUUUUCUUUGUUGGAUCAACACGGAGCUAAGGAAACUCGAUAUGAAAUCAAAAUUGGAGUUUGCGUUGCUAUUUUGAUUGAUGUUGGUGUUUCCCGUCGGUUUGCAUUGGCUCGUCACGAUGCACACGGCCAAAACAAGAGCGAAAAGGGCGACCUGGAAAACGUAAAUAAUUCACAUCAAACCGUUACUAACAUCCGAUUUUCAAUAUAAAUCAAUUAGACAGCAUAGUAGAUAUGCAAGUAAAUUAAAAACAGAAAUGCUAUAUACAUUUAUAUUGUACUUACAAUGAUCCUCAUAGUGAUUGAUUGAAAUGGAAAAGAGCUGGAAAUGCUUUGAAGUCAAACUGGAAACUUGUGGUGACUUUGAUGACUUUUAGUGCGUCUUUAUAUACAAGUAGCGUACAGACAGUGCACCUUUGAAUUCAAGUGGUUGUGGAAUGAGCUUCUAAUUAUUUCGCAAAACUUCACCAUUUGGAAGGGUCCUUUGUUAAUCAGUGCACUUGGGUUCCUUCGUAUCAUCUUUGCUCUCUAAAGGGAAACCUUUGAAAUGACGAUGUGGCAAGCCGGAAAACAGCCAAAACCCUGCAGGAAAACAUACGGAAAUAAUCAAUUGCCGGCAUAAUGAGGAAAAUAAAUCAAAAAAGUACUGUAGAACUCAAACGAACUUGCAGAUACUAACCUAGUUCUAAUUGCAAGGCCGUGUAUUUUUAGUUGCUGUGGUGUUCAGUUUGCGGUUUAAACUUCCCGUCAUCACAAGGUUUCAGGUAAUAUGUAAUGGUUCCUCAUGAAUUCCAGCCAAUUAAUUGGGUUGACAAGCACGUAGUUAAUCUGGCCAGAUUAACGAUAAUUUUAACUAGAUAAAAAUAAAAGUCUCUCGCCGAGGACCUUGACAAUGGGAAAUGAAUAUCGGAAGAAACAGUUUUAGUAUAAAAGCAUUUCGUCUGUCAGUGUAAAUUCAGCACACUCGUCGUUCUCACCCUCCUGCACCACAACUUCAGCGAAUAAACAUGCAUUUAACGGCAUCAGUUAUCAUCGCAUUAGUUUGCAUGGCCUCAUCCAUUAAUGCUAGUUCGUCCAAUGGUCCCAAUGAAACCUAACCGACCAUUGAUGAAUCGUCCAUCAUCAGAGACGAACAUCAACACCAACAACAACGAAAAUGACAAUUUGCAAUUCAGCUCACUAUUUUCUGAACUGAUUGCCAACGCAGAACCCUGAACAAGAUCCGUGUGAGAUUGCCGAUGACGAUGACUCUUGUUUCUGGAAAAUGAUUGGAGCUGAUGCUCUCGUGAAAUCACAAGGGUCGGCCCAGAAAACCGAAGACAAAGUUGCGGCUGAUGAUGAGACGCCAAGCCUCGAAAAAGCAUUGGAUAAUUCUAAAAGCCUUCGAUCCCGCCCUGUUUUUGGCUCUACUAAUUAUAAUCUCAACUCUAACAACAACGAAAACUCCAAGUUCAACUCUCUUUACGCAUCCCUGCAGCAGUUUUUAAGGAACAAGAAUAAGAAACUUAUUGCCAUCGACACGAUCAUAAAACAAGAAUGAUAUAGUUCUGGUAGUCAUGGCAACUAUCAAAUGGGACAAUCGACAACGGCGAUACGAUGUUUUCGGUUUUCUUGGUUAGGAAUAUUUCAAUGCAUAUUGUGCAUAUAUAAAUUGUUCUAGCAAUGCAGUCGAUUAACAACACUAUACACCAGGUUUUUGUAAUGGACUGGAUUGUGUUAAAAUAUUGUGAAAUGGAUAGAUAUACAGUUAAAUUCUAUAAA